rnacentral:rRNA from 1 species
AGUUUGAUCAUGGCUCAGGACGAACGCUGGCGGCGCGCUUAACACAUGCAAGUCGAGCGAGAACCAGGCCUUCGGGCCUGGGGACAGCGGCGAACGGGUGAGUAACACGUGGGUAAUCAACCCUCGAUACUGGGAUAGCCCGGGGAAACCCGGAUUAAUACCGGAUGGCCCUUUGGAUUCUCGGAUCUGAAGGAAAAGGUAGCUUCGGCCUCCGAUCGAGGACGAGCCCGCGGCGGAUUAGCUUGUUGGUGAGGUAACGGCUCACCAAGGCGACGAUCCGUAGCUGGUCUGAGAGGACGAUCAGCCACACUGGGACUGAGACACGGCCCAGACUCCUACGGGAGGCAGCAGUGGGGAAUCUUGCGCUAAUGCGGGAAACCGUGACGCAGCGACGCCGCGUGAGGGAAGAAGGCCUUCGGGUUGUAAACCUCUUUCAGGAGGGACGAAGCCACUCGGGUUAAUAGCCCAGAGGGUGACGGUACCUCCAGAAGAAGCCCCGGCUAACUACGUGCCAGCAGCCGCGGUAAUACGUAGGGGGCAAGCGUUGUCCGGAUUUAUUGGGGCGUAAAGAGCGUGUAGGCGGCUAGAUAGGUCCGUUGUGAAAACUCGAGGCUCAACCUCGAGACGUCGAUGGAAACCAUCUGGCUAGAGUCCGGAAGAGGAGAGUG